rnacentral:miRNA from 1 species
GAAGGGUAUCGGGAUGAGAGG